rnacentral:rRNA from 1 species
GAUGAACGCUGGCGGCGUGCCUAAUACAUGCAAGUCGAGCGAACGGACGAGAAGCUUGCUUUUCUGAUGUUAUCGGCGGACGGGUGAGUAACACGUGGAUAACCUACCUAUAAGACUGGGAUAACUUCGGGAAACCGGAGCUAAUACCGGAUAAUAUUUUGAACCGCAUGGUUCAAAAGUGAAAGACGGUCUUGCUUUCACUUAUAGAUGGAUCCGCGCUGCAUUAGCUAGUUGGUAAGGUAACGGCUUACCAAGGCAACGAUGCAUAGCCGACCUGAGAGGGUGAUCGGCCACACUGGAACUGAGACACGGUCCAGACUCCUACGGGAGGCAGCAGUAGGGAAUCUUACGCAAUGGGCGAAAGCCUGACGGAGCAACGCCGCGUGAGUGAUGAAGGUCUUCGGAUCGUAAAACUCUGUUAUUAGGGAAGAACAUAUGUGUAAGUACCUGUGCACAUCUUGACGGUACCUAAUCAGAAAGCCACGGCUAACUACGUG